AUAAAUGUGGAAUAAGUGUUCCUAUAAUAAUAUAGUGUAAUAUAAUAUACUUAAAGGACUGAAUGCAAUUUCUGCAGCUGAUGGUAACCGAGAAUGUGAAACCAUAUUGCCAAAAUAAUGUACAGUCGCAUUGUUUUUAACGACAAACCGUAAAAUGUUUUCAAGUAUAUUUGAAUGUUUCAAAAAUCAGAAUUCGAUUAAAUUCCCCGUCGAUAAGCCAAACAUUCGGAAGACCAUCGUGCACGGCGAAUCACUGUGUAAAUAAAACGUGUGUAACGGUGUACGUCGAACGGCCGACUCAACGAGUGGGGUCUCUUGUUCGAGUGUACCGCGACAAACGUUAUUAUGAUGUAUAGUACGCUCAUUUCUGCACGGCGGCGUAUAAUACACUAAUAUAUUGUUAGUAUCAUAUUAAUAUGCAUUACACCGUUAUAGAUCGGGUAAUAAUAACAAUACUAGUGCGGCCACUCCCGGAUACGGCGUUGUCGGUGUAUAUUAUAUUAUAUUGUAUAGAUAUAUAAUAGCGCAUGCAUAUUAUGAUGUAAUUAAUAAUAUUAUUUAAUUGAUUUUGUCGGUUAUUAUUGUAGCGCAGAUAGCUCAUAUUGUGUACGCCGCGAUCUCGUGUUUCGGUAAUUAACCUUGGAACUUGUUUCGUGCCAUCUCACAAUAACAAUAGCACUCUUGGAGAAUGGAAGACGGAGUUUUGCCAGUGUAUUAUACUGUAUACGCACAGUGUGGACUGUGAGUAGACCGGACCUAUUACCGCGUAGAGCGUAUAACAUAGUAUUCCUUCAAAAUUCAUCCGUCGCAUUCGAUCUCCGACGAUGUUAUAUGACUACAAUAAUUGGGUUUUAUUUUUAUUAUUAUUAUAUAUCGUCAUUAGUACUCAUUCCAUUAUCGUGCAUUCUGAGUGGUGCAGUCAAAAGAAAAAAUUCACAGAACUUGUCAAAAUCGUCGAAAACAAAUAAAAACGAUAUGGAAAUUUGAACGCAAAACGAGAUGUCGAUUAAAUCGAAAUUAUUUAUUUUACUGUAAUUCAAAAAAUAAUAAAAUUUUGAAGUAUGUUAUUCAAUAAAAACAUAAAUAGACAUUAUUUAAUUUUAAAAAUAUUGUCUACUAUUAAUAUAUGUUUGACAUUGUCAUUUCUUUUUUGUAUAUUUUCGAUUCGUGUUUCCAGAAUUAUAAUCACAAUUUUUUAACUAUCUGUCAAAUUUAUAUGCAUAUAUGUAUUUCUAAAGAUAUUUUAUUUUACGCUUAUAUUGUUAUUAUACAAUUAUUUUUAAGUUAGUAACAUCAAGUAAGUGAGUAGGUUGUGCUAAAUUUUGCAAAAAUUAGAAUAUUGUAAAAAUUCUGUACAGUAAUCAUAACAGUGUGAUUUGAUAAAAUAUUGUUGUUACAAACUUGGUUUAGUUAUGUCCAAUAUAUACUUAAAUAAAUAAAUACAUUUCUAUAAUGUACCU